rnacentral:rRNA from 1 species
GAUGAACGCUGGCGGCGUGCCUAAUACAUGCAAGUCGAGCGAACGGACGAGAAGCUUGCUUUUCUGAUGUUAGCGGCGGACGGGUGAGUAACACGUGGAUAACCUACCUAUAAGACUGGGAUAACUUCGGGAAACCGGAGCUAAUACCGGAUAAUAUUUUGAACCGCAUGGUUCAAAAGUGAAAGACGGUCUUGCUGUCACUUAUAGAUGGAUCCGCGCUGCAUUAUCUAGUUGGUAAGGUAACGGCUUACCAAGGCAACGAUGCAUAGCCGACCUGAAAGAGUGAUAGGCCACACGGGAACUGAGACACGGUCCAGACGCCUACGGGAGGCAGCAGUAGGGAAUCUGCAGCAAUGGGGGAAAGCCUGACGGAGCAACGCCGCGUGAGUGAUGAAGGACUUCGGAUCGUAAAACUCUGUUAUUAGGGAAGAACAUAUGUGUAAGUAACUGUGCACAUCUUGACGGUACCUAAUCAGAAAGCCACGGCUAACUACGU